GAAGAGGCAGCGUUAAAAAUCGAGCAAGGUCUUAUGACCCACAUCCUUCCCUUCCCCAGACUCCGUGAGAUGAUCAGAAACCAGCUAGCGGACCCAUAACUGCAUCAUGGCCGAGGAGAUCUUAGGGUCCAAUAGAGCGCCGCUUGCCACGCAAGGAGUGACAGAGAAGUAGCCGGGUUUGGAGUGGCCAACGAGAUCAUUUGUGCCAGCGAGCAUUCCCAAUUUCGAGACGGUCUGAUCCUACAUCUCCCAGCGAUCAUAGUCAAUAGUUGAAAGGUGAAGUUGCAUUCCCAGAAUAGAUGAUCCCUUGAUUCCGCCGCUGUGUUGCAUAGGAGACAGGUAUGAGACACCUGCAAUCCCCAUCCGAUCAUUCUAUCUCUCGUGGGUAGUCGAUUUUGUACUAUCAUCCACGUGUGGAAGCUGUGUCGCGGGAUUCUCCGUUUUGGCCAGACAACAUGAGCCCAUCUCACUUCUUCUAUCCUUCCUCUGAGUGAUAAAGGAGAGAACUUGAAGUUGGGCAUCUGUACGCGCUUGGGGAAGCUGCCAGACGCCAUUACAAUGAAGUGAGGCCAGUGUUGCUGUCUUUGGGAUUCCUAAUCGAGAAUUCCCACCAGCUAAGUACUCCUGCAACAUCCCAAACGGACUCCAAUUAUCUAUCCAGAAUCUCACACAUUCUCCAUUCUGUAUCCUAAGAUGAAUCAAAGGGAAACCCAUACGGAGUCAGGCCUGAAGAAUAGGAUCCAUAUCAGUCGCAAGCAACAAGCUUUGUUCCAGGCUUUCGGGAGGAUGAACGAGGAACACCAGAAGGUGGUGAUGCCCGAGAUUACUGUAUUGAUGAGCACUAAUCUUCCCGAGAAGGAUAGAGUUUUUGUCGACCAAGAGGAGAAGCGGGAUUUUAUUUGGUGAAGCAAAGGCUCAGAGCUGGCUAAGGAAAGCUUCCUGGAAUUCAUAGGCACUCCAAGAUAUCUGAAUGUACUUGGAGCACACAUUGGACUGACUUCUCUGAACCGUCUAUGAAUAUCAGCAGGUCAUCAGCAAAGGAGAGGUGAGUGAGCUUUAUCUUC